UUUGAACGAGUGGCGGACGGGUGAGUAACACGUGGGUAACCUGCCCUUAAGUGGGGGAUAACAUUUGGAAACAGAUGCUAAUACCGGGGGGGGGGGGGGGGGCAUAAAUCCAAGAACCGCAUGGUUCUUGGCUGAAAGAUGGCGUAAGCUAUCGCUUUUGGAUGGACCCGCGGCGUAUUAGCUAGUUGGUGAGGUAACGGCUCACCAAGGCAAUGAUACGUAGCCGAACUGAGAGGUUGAUCGGCCACAUUGGGACUGAGACACGGCCCAAACUCCUACGGGAGGCAGCAGUAGGGAAUCUUCCACAAUGGACGCAAGUCUGAUGGAGCAACGCCGCGUGAGUGAAGAAGGCUUUCGGGUCGUAAAACUCUGUUGUUGGAGAAGAAUGGUCGGCAGAGUAACUGUUGUCGGCGUGACGGUAUCCAACCAGAAAGCCACGGCUAACUACGUGCCAGCAGCCGCGGUAAUACGUAGGUGGCAAGCGUUAUCCGGAUUUAUUGGGCGUAAAGCGAGCGCAGGCGGUUUUUUAAGUCUGAUGUGAAAGCCCUCGGCUUAACCGAGGAAGUGCAUCGGAAACUGGGAAACUUGAGUGCAGAAGAGGACAGUGGAACUCCAUGUGUAGCGGUGAAAUGCGUAGAUAUAUGGAAGAACACCAGUGGCGAAGGCGGCUGUCUGGUCUGUAACUGACGCUGAGGCUCGAAAGCAUGGGUAGCGAACAGGAUUAGAUACCCUGGUAGUCCAUGCCGUAAACGAUGAAUGCUAGGUGUUGGAGGGUUUCCGCCCUUCAGUGCCGCAGCUAACGCAUUAAGCAUUCCGCCUGGGGAGUACGACCGCAAGGUUGAAACUCAAAGGAAUUGACGGGGGCCCGCACAAGCGGUGGAGCAUGUGGUUUAAUUCGAAGCAACGCGAAGAACCUUACCAGGUCUUGACAUCUUUUGAUCACCUGAGAGAUCAGGUUUCCCCUUCGGGGGCAAAAUGACAGGUGGUGCAUGGUUGUCGUCAGCUCGUGUCGUGAGAUGUUGGGUUAAGUCCCGCAACGAGCGCAACCCUUAUGACUAGUUGCCAGCAUUUAGUUGGGCACUCUAGUAAGACUGCCGGUGACAAACCGGAGGAAGGUGGGGAUGACGUCAAAUCAUCAUGCCCCUUAUGACCUGGGCUACACACGUGCUACAAUGGAUGGUACAACGAGUUGCGAGACCGCGAGGUCAAGCUAAUCUCUUAAAGCCAUUCUCAGUUCGGACUGUAGGCUGCAACUCGCCUACACGAAGUCGGAAUCGCUAGUAAUCGCGGAUCAGCACGCCGCGGGGGGGGGGGGGGGGGGGGGGGGUGAAUACGUUCCCGGGCCUUGUACACACCGCCCGUCACACCAUGAGAGUUUGUAACACCCGAAGCCGGUGG
rnacentral:rRNA from 1 species